CGGAUGGGUGAGUAAUGUCUGGGAAACUGCCCGAUGGAGGGGGAUAACUACUGGAAACGGUAGCUAAUACCGCAUAACGUCGCAAGACCAAAGAGGGGGACCUUCGGGCCUCUUGCCAUCGGAUGUGCCCAGAUGGGAUUAGCUAGUAGGUGGGGUAACGGCUCACCUAGGCGACGAUCCCUAGCUGGUCUGAGAGGAUGACCAGCCACACUGGAACUGAGACACGGUCCAG
rnacentral:rRNA from 1 species